rnacentral:sRNA from 1 species
AAAAAAGGUUAUAAUGAUGCAAAUCUACCUCUACAAUCUUCUUAUCUAUAAACUUGAAAACAAAUAUAACAAAUCAAUGAUCAAGCUUUCAGCCGCGAAAACGGACAAACGAGCAUCGAAAACGAGGACGAAGAGCAACACCAAUGGAGGACCAUGAGCAAAAAAAAUUCAACCUGCAGGAAGAACACGAAGUUGUCUGUGUAUGCCUGGAAGAAGCAGAGCAGAGCAUGGAAGGAGAGAAAUCAGAUUCGAAAGAGAGAUAAAUAUCAGGGUGAAGAAUAAAUGAGAGAAAGCUGUUUUGCUUUUAACAGAAUCUUUGACCAGGUAUUUUUGGCAUGGAAUUAUGGAUCAACAAAGGCCCAAAUCAAUUCAGUGCAGUUUUUGUAAAUGUCCAAAACGUGAAAAUCUGACAAGCUGUUAAGUAUAAUUUCUUCAUGCACUCAAACCUCUCACUUUAAAUGUUACAUGGUAUCCCCAAUCAAUGUUGUUGAGAAUUUACGUGACAGUUACAUUGAGGCCAUAACAUCAAGCCAUCCACUUCUAAACUCUAUAAAUGUUGAGUAGGAAGAAAUUACCGAGUACAUACCAUUUUCAUGGGGAAAAAAAGCACACAAUUUGGAUUUAUAUAUAAAUAGAUGACAUGCAGAAAAUGAUUGUUUUUUUAAGGUAUAUCAGAGGG